rnacentral:rRNA from 1 species
CUUCGGCCAGGCUACCGGCUCCGGCUGGUAAGCGCCUGCCAGAGGACCCCAAACUCUGAAUGUUACUGUUGUCUGAGUACUAUAAAAUAAUUAAAACUUUCAACAACGGAUCUCUUGGUUCUGGCAUCGAUGAAGAACGCAGCGAAAUGCGAUAAGUAAUGUGAAUUGCAUAAUUCAUUGAAUCAUCGAAUCUUUGAACGCACAUUGCGCCCCUUGGUAUUCCGAGGGGCAUGCCUGUUCGAGCGUCAUUACAACCCUCAAGCACCGCUUGGUAUUGGGCCCCGCUGGUUCCAGCGGGCCUUAAAAUCAGUGGCGGCGCCGCCUGGGCUCUGAGCGUANUAAAUACCCUCGCUAUANAGACCUGACGGUUCCUGCUACNAACCCCCAACUUUCUAAGUUUGACCUCGGAUCAGGUAGGGAUACCCGCUGAACUUAAGCAUAUCAAUAAGCGGAGGAAAAGAAACCAACAGGGAUUGCCUCANUAACGGCGAG